rnacentral:rRNA from 1 species
UAAGACGGAGGGUGCUAGCGUUGUUCGGAAUCAUUGGGCGUAAAGGGCGUGUAGGCGGAUCGUUAAGUCAUGCGUGAAAGCCCUCGGCUUAACCGAGGAAGGGCGUAUGAUACUGGCGACCUAGAGUUCGGAAGAGGGGGGUGGAAUUCCAGGUGUAGCGGUGAAAUGCGUAGAUAUCUGGAGGAACACCGGUGGCGAAGGCGACCCCCUGGUCCGACACUGACGCUGAGACGCGAAAGCGUGGGUAGCAAACAGGAUUAGAUACCCUGGUAGUCCACGCCGUAAACGAUGGGCACUAGGUGUCUGGGGUAUUGACCCCCUGGGUGCCGUAGCUAACGCAUUAAGUGCCCCGCCUGGGGAGUACGAUCGCAAGGUUA